GAGUUUGAUCCUGGCUCAGAACGAACGCUGGCGGCGUGCUUAACACAUGCAAGUCAGGGAGAAGGUCUCUUCGGGGAUGAUUAAACCGGCGCACGGGUGAGUAACACGUGAGUGACCUGCCUUUUAGACUGGAACAACUUACCGAAAGGUGAGCUAAUGCCGGAUGAGUUAUAUAAGUGCAUGUUUAUAUAGGAAAAGUUGGGGAGACCUGACGCUGAAAGAUGGACUCGCGUCCCAUUAGCUAGUUGGUAGGGUAAUGGCCUACCAAGGCGACGAUGGGUAGCCGGCCUGAGAGGGUGGCCGGCCACACUGGGACUGAGACACGGCCCAGACUCCUACGGGAGGCAGCAGUGGGGAAUUUUGCGCAAUGCUCGUAAGAGUGACGCAGCGACGCCGCGUGAAUGACGAAGGCCUUCGGGUCGUAAAGUUCUUUCGACAGGGAAGAAAAUGCCUAUAAGUAACUGUGUAUGUAUUGACGGUACCUGUAUAAGCAGCCCCGGCUAACUCCGUGCCAGCAGCCGCGGUAAUACGGAGGGGGCGAGCGUUGUUCGGAGUGACUGGGCGUAAAGAGCACGUAGGCGGUGUUGUAAGUCAUUAGUCAAAGACUAGAGCUCAACUUUAGUAAGGCUAGUGAUACUAUAAUACUAGAGUAUCAGAGAGGAUUGCAGAAUUCCUGGUGUAGCGGUGAAAUGCGUAGAUAUCAGGAGGAAUACCGUUAGCGAAGGCGGCAAUCUGGCUGGAAACUGACGCUGAGGUGCGAAAGCGUGGGGUAGCAACAGGAUUAGAUACCCUGGUAGUCCACGCUGUAAACGAUGGAUGCUAG
rnacentral:rRNA from 1 species